AUUGAACGCUGGCGGCAUGCCUUACACAUGCAAGUCGAACGGCAGCACGGGAGCAAUCCUGGUGGCGAGUGGCGAACGGGUGAGUAAUAUAUCGGAACGUGCCCAGUCGUGGGGGAUAACGUAGCGAAAGCUACGCUAAUACCGCAUACGAUCUAUGGAUGAAAGCGGGGGAUCGCAAGACCUCGCGCGAUUGGAGCGGCCGAUAUCAGAUUAGGUAGUUGGUGAGGUAAAGGCUCACCAAGCCGACGAUCUGUAGCUGGUCUGAGAGGACGACCAGCCACACUGGGACUGAGCCACGGCCCAGACUCCUACGGGAGGCAGCAGUGGGGGAAUCUUGGACAAUGGGCGCAAGCCUGAUCCAGCAAUGCCGCGUGCAGGAUGAAGGCCU
rnacentral:rRNA from 1 species